rnacentral:rRNA from 1 species
UACAGAGGGUGCAAGCGUUGUUCGGAAUUAUUGGGCGUAAAGCGCGUGUAGGCGGCUUUGCAAGUCGGGUGUGAAAGCCCUCAGCUUAACUGAGGAAGUGCGCCCGAAACUGCAGAGCUUGAGUACCGGAGAGGAUGGCGGAAUUCCCCAAGUAGAGGUGAAAUUCGUAGAUAUGGGGAGGAACACCGGUGGCGAAGGCGGCAUCCUGGACCGGUAUUGACGCUGAUGAGCGAAAGCCAGGGGAGCAAACGGG